rnacentral:rRNA from 1 species
GACGAACGCUGGCGGCGUGCUUAACACAUGCAAGUCGAACGGAAAGGCCCCUUUGGGGGUACUCGAGCGGCGGACGGGUGCGUAACACGUGCGUAACCUGCCCUUGACUUCGGGAUAACUUCAGGAAACUGGGGCUAAUACCGGAUAGGAAUCCUUGCUUCAUGGUGGGGGUUGGAAAGCUUCGGCGGGUUUGGAUGGACUCGCGGCUUAUCUGCUUGUUGGUGGGGUAGUUGCUUACCAAGGCUUUGGCGGGUAGCCGGCCUGGGAGGGCGACCGGCCACAUUGGGACUGAGGUGCGGCCCAGACUCCUACGGGAGGGAGCAGUGGGGAAUAUUGCACAAUGGGCGGAAGCCUGGUGCAGCAACGCCGCGUGCGGGAUGACGGCCUUCGGGUUGUAAAACGCUUUCAGCAGGGGCGAAGCUUGUGGUGACGGUACCUGCAGAAGAAGCACCGGCUAACUACGUG